GAGGGAGUCAGAGGCGGGCCUCACGCCCACUCAGACCUCCCGGAGAAUUGUCGCAGAGGUGGCAGACUUUGAUCUGGGCCUCGAAGAGGAAGAAUUUGGGAAAGGCCGGAGAGGCCUUCCAGGAGAUUUUUGGGAAAUUAUGAGUCACUUCUGUUCA